GGGGGGGGGGGGGGGGGGGGGGGGGGGGGGGGGGGGGGGGGGGGGGGGGGGGGGGGGGGGGGGGGGGGGGGGGGGGGCGAAGGCCUGAGGGGAAAAAUGGCGGGAAAAGGAUGUGAGGGGAAAAACGCACGGAAAAGGGAGAAAUCCGAGAGAAAGGGGCGGAUGAAGGACAGAGGUCACCCACAGAUUCCCACAGCGAGCGUGGUUUGACGUCGGCUUCCAGGUGAGUCCCUCACUUCCAGGUGAGUUCUUCACUUCCAGGUGAGUCCCUCACUUCCAGGUGAGUUAAUUCCUCAUUUCCAGGUUAAUUCCUCACUUCCAGGUGAAUUCCUCUCUCUUUUCCCUCCUGACUUCCGCAGGGGGGGGGGGGGGGGGGGGGGGGGGGGGGGGGGGGGGGGGGGGGGGGGGGGGGGGGGGGGGGGGGGGGGGGGGGGGG
rnacentral:lncRNA from 1 species